CGUGGGGCAUCUAUAAUGCAGUCGAGCGGACAGAUGGGAGCUUGCUCCCUGAUGUUAGCGGCGGACGGGUGAGUAACACGUGGGUAACCUGCCUGUAAGACUGGGAUAACUCCGGGAAACCGGGGCUAAUACCGGAUGCUUGAUUGAACCGCAUGGUUCAAUUAUAAAAGGUGGCUUUUAGCUACCACUUACAGAUGGACCCGCGGCGCAUUAGCUAGUUGGUGAGGUAACGGCUCACCAAGGCAACGAUGCGUAGCCGACCUGAGAGGGUGAUCGGCCACACUGGGACUGAGACACGGCCCAGACUCCUACGGGAGGCAGCAGUAGGGAAUCUUCCGCAAUGGACGAAAGUCUGACGGAGCAACGCCGCGUGAGUGAUGAAGGUUUUCGGAUCGUAAAACUCUGUUGUUAGGGAAGAACAAGUACCGUUCGAAUAGGGCGGAACCUUGACGGUACCUAACCAGAAAGCCACGGCUAACUACGUGCCAGCAGCCGCGGUAAUACGUAGGGGGCAGACCG
rnacentral:rRNA from 1 species